GCUGGAGUGGCGGAACUGGCAGACGCACAGGACUUAAAAUCCUGCGGUAGUGAUACCGUACCGGUUCAAUUCCGGUCUUCAGCACCA
rnacentral:tRNA from 1 species